UCCUUCUUAGCUCAGUUGGUAGAGCGCGUCACUAGUAUGUAUGCUUGUUUGCGUAUAAUGACGAGGUCAGUCGUUCAAGUCGGCUAGAAGGAA